ensembl:lncRNA novel transcript, antisense to SEPT3
AGUUUUAAAGCACUACAAAAGAGUAGAAAUAAGACCACCCUUCAUCCAAUCCUUCCACCAGCUCUCAGAGCUCAUCUUAGAAGAGCCAGGGUCACAGCCAUUUGGGGGAAAGAAAUGGGAUCCUUGGUGCUGCCCGCCACCAGGCCUGCAGCAGCCCCACAGCCUUCCGUACCAACGACCAUGAUGUUGAAGUCGAAACCGGUCUUCAUGGUCUUCUUGCGCAUCUGCUCGAUGAUGGUGUCGAUGCCGAUGUAGCCCAGCAGAAUCAUACAAAGUUGGGCCUGGAAGGGAUCUUAGUAUCAUCCAGUCCAGGUCCCUCAUUUCAUAGACAAAGAGACUGAGGCCUGGAGGAGAAAGAACUCAACUAAGAACACAGAGCAGGUCAGAGGUAAAAUCUGGGCCAGUGCCAGGUUCUCUGGUUGCUGGGCACUUUCAAAUGCACCUCACUGCUCUGAAGCCCACAUCUGUGCAUCUAACCCAGGGGCUGCUCCAUCUUGGCACUAAUGACAUUUGAG